rnacentral:lncRNA from 1 species
AAGAAAGCCAGCCUGCCCUGCAAUCAUGACUUGCACUGACACCAAGGAGACACACUGUGCUUCUUGUUGGGUCACAAUCAAAAGACUUAAAGGAACAGUUCACAGGAGCAUGCUGUAAUAAAGGUGUUGACCUGGGGGUUGCUGUUACUGGUAAAUAUAUGGAGAGUGGUGGGCAGCUAUAUGCAUCUCAACUUUCACUUGACUAUAGAAAACGGGAAGGAGCUUUGGUACCUGUCAGAUGCUUUUGGGAGUUGUGCUUCAUCUUUAUGCUUUUGGCAAGGGAAGACUUUCAGACUUGCUCACCAAAUGUCUUGUGCAGCUCUACUCUGAGGUUUCUGGUCUAUGAACUAAAUCAUUCUCCCACUCUAUUAUGCAACACAAGUCUGUUGAACCUCCGUAUGGACUGUUUUACCAACUUGAGCUGCUUGCUGAACUUUCUUGACAUACACCUGGUAAAUAUUCUAAUUUCCAUUCUGUUGUCACUGAUUACUUUUUCGUAUUCCUGAGGAGAUGUCAUACUUGUGAAUUCAUGAAAUAUUUUAAAUAUUAUUAUAAAUGCAUCUUAAGUGUUGUCAAGGUUAAGUCAGAAAUGACACAAGUCAGAAAGUUUUCAUUAAAAGUAAAAAGUAUUUAUCUCCUGCUGCUUUGGUC